rnacentral:rRNA from 1 species
AGAGUUUGAUCAUGGCUCAGAUUGAACGCUGGCGGCAGGCCUAACACAUGCAAGUCGAGCGGUAGCACAGAGAGCUUGCUCUCGGGUGACGAGCGGCGGACGGGUGAGUAAUGUCUGGGAAACUGCCUGAUGGAGGGGGAUAACUACUGGAAACGGUAGCUAAUACCGCAUAACGUCGCAAGACCAAAGAGGGGGACCUUCGGGCCUCUUGCCAUCAGAUGUGCCCAGAUGGGAUUAGCUAGUAGGUGGGGUAACGGCUCACCUAGGCGACGAUCCCUAGCUGGUCUGAGAGGAUGACCAGCCACACUGGAACUGAGACACGGUCCAGACUCCUACGGGAGGCAGCAGUGGGGAAUAUUGCACAAUGGGCGCAAGCCUGAUGCAGCCAUGCCGCGUGUAUGAAGAAGGCCUUCGGGUUGUAAAGUACUUUCAGCGGGGAGGAAGGCGAUAAGGUUAAUAACCUUGUCGAUUGACGUUACCCGCAGAAGAAGCACCGGCUAACUCCGUGCCAGCAGCCGCGGUAAUACGGAGGGUGCAAGCGUUAAUCGGAAUUACUGGGCGUAAAGCGCACGCAGGCGGUCUGUCAAGUCGGAUGUGAAAUCCCCGGGCUCAACCUGGGAACUGCAUUCGAAACUGGCAGGCUAGAGUCUUGUAGAGGGGGGUAGAAUUCCAGGUGUAGCGGUGAAAUGCGUAGAGAUCUGGAGGAAUACCGGUGGCGAAGGCGGCCCCCUGGACAAAGACUGACGCUCAGGUGCGAAAGCGUGGGGAGCAAACAGGAUUAGAUACCCUGGUAGUCCACGCCGUAAACGAUGUCGACUUGGAGGUUGUGCCCUUGAGGCGUGGCUUCCGGAGCUAACGCGUUAAGUCGACCGCCUGGGGAGUACGGCCGCAAGGUUAAAACUCAAAUGAAUUGACGGGGGCCCGCACAAGCGGUGGAGCAUGUGGUUUAAUUCGAUGCAACGCGAAGAACCUUACCUACUCUUGACAUCCAGAGAACUUUCCAGAGAUGGAUUGGUGCCUUCGGGAACUCUGAGACAGGUGCUGCAUGGCUGUCGUCAGCUCGUGUUGUGAAAUGUUGGGUUAAGUCCCGCAACGAGCGCAACCCUUAUCCUUUGUUGCCAGCGGUUAGGCCGGGAACUCAAAGGAGACUGCCAGUGAUAAACUGGAGGAAGGUGGGGAUGACGUCAAGUCAUCAUGGCCCUUACGAGUAGGGCUACACACGUGCUACAAUGGCGCAUACAAAGAGAAGCGACCUCGCGAGAGCAAGCGGACCUCAUAAAGUGCGUCGUAGUCCGGAUUGGAGUCUGCAACUCGACUCCAUGAAGUCGGAAUCGCUAGUAAUCGUAGAUCAGAAUGCUACGGUGAAUACGUUCCCGGGCCUUGUACACACCGCCCGUCACACCAUGGGAGUGGGUUGCAAAAGAAGUAGGUAGCUUAACCUUCGGGAGGGCGCUUACCACUUUGUGAUUCAUGACUGGGGUGAAGUCGUAACAAGGUAACCGUAGGGGAACCUGC